AACGAACGCUGGCGGCAUGCCUAACACAUGCAAGUCGAACGAGACCUUCGGGUCUAGUGGCGCACGGGUGCGUAACGCGUGGGAACCUGCCCUUAGGUUCGGAAUAACUCCCCGAAAGGGGUGCUAAUACCGGAUAAUGUCUUCGGACCAAAGAUUUAUCGCCUUUGGAUGGUCCCGCGUUGGAUUAGCUAGUUGGUAGGGUAAAAGCCUACCAAGGCGACGAUUCAUAGCUGGUCUGAGAGGAUGAUCAGCCACACUGGGACUGAGACACGGCCCAGACUCCUACGCGAGGCAGCAGUGGGGAAUAUUGGACAAUGGGCGAAAGCCUGAUCCAGCAAUGCCGCGUGAGUGAUGAAGGCCUUAGGGUUGUAAAGCUCUUUUACCCGGGAUGAUAAUGACAGUACCGGGAGAAUAAGCUCCGGCUAACUCCGUG
rnacentral:rRNA from 1 species